rnacentral:misc_RNA from 1 species
UGACUGUGAGCUCAGCUAGAAUCCC